AACAUUAAUCAUUUUACAAUUCUAGUAUAACUUCUGUAUUUCACAUUAAAAUUAAAAAUUUGAAACAGGAAAUUAUUUCAUUCAUUUAGGAUCGUCUUUUGUGAAAGAUGAAAAUGCCGGGUUUUUUACCCUUGCUAACCCAACCGGAACUCGUCCAACAAAACUUCCUCAAACUGAUGGUAAUGGUGGGAUUUGGUGCAACCCGUCCUACGGUCCUGGAUUUGGCAACGGCAAUGGUCACUGUAUAAAUUUCAUGAGUGACGGCUAUAACAGCUGUGCUAUCAACAACGACUACGUUUGUUUUGGUCUUCCAGAAGGUCAGAUAUUUUCUAAUUUUAUUUAUGGAAAUACGACCAGUUUUAGCAUGGACUAUUUGGAAGUCUUUGGCUUAAAAGAAUGUUGAAUUAGAGAUUCAAUUUUGAAACUAAAGGUGAUUAAAAAGAACUACUGUACCUACUAAAGUUCAUCAGCAUUGGCUUAUCCGGAACGUACGUGUCUAUUUUUGUGAAUAAGAUAACUAGUUUUUUAUACCAUUGGCUUUUAAAGAUAAAACUACACUACUUUUCUGUAAGUAACCAGUAAACGCUUCUUGUAUCAUUGAAAUAUAAUAAAACUUUUUAAUGUAUUUUUUAUUACACUC
rnacentral:lncRNA from 1 species